CGGGGGAGGCGGGAUCCUGCGCUGUGUCCCGGCGCCCUGUGCUCCGGAGCCUGCGCUGGUUCGCGCUCCCGCCCCGCAGCCCCCU
rnacentral:pre_miRNA from 1 species